UACGUAGGGCGCAAGCGUUAUCCGGAAUUAUUGGGCGUAAAGAGCUCGUAGGCGGUUUGUCGCGUCUGCCGUGAAAGCCCUGGGCUCAACUCCGGAUCUGCGGUGGGUACGGGCAGACUAGAGUGAUGUAGGGGAGACUGGAAUUCCUGGUGUAGCGGUGAAAUGCGCAGAUAUCAGGAGGAACACCGAUGGCGAAGGCAGGUCUCUGGGCAUUAACUGACGCUGAGGAGCGAAAGCAUGGGGAGCGAACAGG
rnacentral:rRNA from 1 species